AGGUUGAUUAUGGCUCAGGAUGAACGCUAGCUACAGGCUUAACACAUGCAAGUCGAGGGGCAGCAUGAUCAAAGCUUGCUUGAUUGAUGGCGACCGGCGCACGGGUGAGUAACGCGUAUCCAACCUUCCCUAUAGUAGUGGAUAGCCCGGCGAAAGUCGGAUUAAUACACUAUGUUGUAUUUAGAGGACAUCUGAAGAAUACCAAAGGCUUGCCGCUAUAGGAUGGGGAUGCGUCUGAUUAGAUAGUAGGCGGGGUAACGGCCCACCUAGUCGACGAUCAGUAGGGGUUCUGAGAGGAAGGUCCCCCACAUUGGAACUGAGACACGGUCCAAACUCCUACGGGAGGCAGCAGUGAGGAAUAUUGGUCAAUGGACGGGAGUCUGAACCAGCCAAGUAGCCGUGCAGGAUGACGGCCCUAUGGGUUGUAAACUGCUUUUAUACGGGGAUAAAGUGAGCCACGUGUGGCUUUUUGUAGGUACCGUAUGAAUAAGGACCGGCUAAUUCCGUGCCAGCCGCCGC
rnacentral:rRNA from 1 species